UGACUUGCGGUUAAUGGAUGUUGU
rnacentral:siRNA from 1 species